AACGAACGCUGGCGGCAUGCCUAACACAUGCAAGUCGAACGAGCCCUUCGGGUCUUGUGUCGUAUGGGUUCGUAACGCGUGGGAACCUUCCCUUAGGUUCGGCAUACCUCCCCGAAAGGGGUGCUAAUACCGGAUAAUGUCUUCUGCCCAAGGAUUUAUCGCCUUUGGAUGUUCCCUCGUUGGAUUAGCUUGUUGGUAGGGUAAAAGCUUACCACGGCGCCGAUCCAUAGCUGGUUUGAGAGGAUGAUCAGCCACACUGGGACUAAGACGCGGCCGAGACUCCUACGGGAGGCAGCAGUGGGGAAUAUUGGACAAUGGGCGAAAGCAUGAUCCAGCAAUGCCGCGUGAGUGAUGAAGGCCGUAGGGUUGUAAAGCGCUAGUAACCGGGAUGAUAAUGACGGUACCGGGAGAAUAAGCUCCGGCUAACUCCGUG
rnacentral:rRNA from 1 species